UCCUGACAAAAAGAUACAGCAUUGGUUCACGACAUUUGAAUUAUAUGAUGGACAAGGGUCUCAGAAUGAAGUGAGCACAGAAAGCAUCUCAUUGAGUUGUUCUAAAGGACGAAAUAUUUAUAAGCAUGAGUGUUGGACCGGUCCCCUUUCCCUGUAUGUGCAUUUCCAAAAUAUCCAAAAGUAAACAUUUUUUAUGUUAACUUAUAUAUAAAGUAAGGUUUAUAGUUAAUUUGUUUUCUUUGAAUUGCAAUCAACACAGCACACACCAUGGUCUAUCAGUGAUUUUUCGGGUCAUAUAUUGGAUGCCUGACUCCUAUAAAUCUUAGUGUUUAAGUUCAAUGCUAAGUUUUUUUUUCCUUUCGCAUUCAUGAACGCUGAAUCUUCAUUUCUUAUGGCAACAUCAAACUCAGCAGUACCAAUACCAUGGUGCCUUUCUCAAUCACGAGAUCGAAGCUCUCACGAUCGAACGGCAGAUCAAGCAUGUCCGCCACCACAACCUCCACACCUGCAAGAAGCAGAAGGCCAACAUUUCACCCCCAAAAUCCCAAAUGGCAGUGCCAUUGUGAAAAAUUUACCCUCGGUGCCCUGCUCCGCGAGGCGGUCACGCAUCCGCUGGACGGCGACGGGCGAGAGGUCAACGCAGGUGAUGCCGCCGGCGACGCCCUCCCGCAGCAGCUCCUCCCCGAGCCGCGAGUUGCCACACCCAACCUCAAGAACCUAGCGCAACACGAAUUCGAGAUGAUUUCAUUUCACCCCCAGACUUCAAAUUUCAAGAACCCACAAAAAACAAAUUCCCCCCACCCAAAGAUGAUAUCAGGAGGGAUUCGUGGGGGGAAGAGAGGAGGCGAGACGAACCGAGAUGGAAGGGGAGAGGAGCGGGGCGAGGAGGUGGCGGAAGUGGGAGAAAUCCUUGAACCACUCAUAGUGCUCCUCCUUCCCGAACCGCUCGUCCCUGCGCGCGCGCACACAGGCCAGCCAUCACAUCAGCGAGACCCAUCCGCUGCCGCGCCGGCGAGCCGCGAGCAGAGAAGAGAAGGAAAAAGAAAAAAGGGGAACCAAACCAGUAGGAGGGGUCGAGGUAGGCGGAGGCGGUGCGCGGCGCGACGUCGUCGGCCAUCGCCGCCGGAGUGAGCAAUGAAGCAGGUGGGUGGCGCCGCCGCCGCAGCCGGGUUGCUUUGUGGAGCGCUGACGCGGGUGCAGAC